AGCUCGCUUACCUCUGCCUGUUUCCGGACCACAUUGUCGGGGCUGAGCAGGUUUCCCAGGAGCAGAGAGGAAGGAAGAGAGGGAGAGGGAGGGAAACAUCAAUGAUGAGAGAGAAUCAUUGAUUGGCUGCCCCUUGCAUGCCCUCCACUGGGGAUCUAGCCUGCAACCCAGGCAUGUGCCGUGACUGGGAAUCAAACCAUGACCUCCUGGUUCACAGUUCCACACUAAACUGUUUUCCGACUUGAUUCUCAGGAAUUUGGAGACAUGGUACAGUACUUUCUGAGCAAUUCCUUGCUGAGGAAUUUCUUUUCCCUGCUGGUUUGACAUUAAACAGAUUUGUGAACCUUUAGAAGAAAUGGACAAGCUGAUCUAAAAUUCACAUUAAUUGCAAGAGACUACAAAUAACCAAAACAAUCUUGAACCCAACAGAAGUUGGAAGACUCACACCUUGAUUUUAAAGCUUACUACAAAACUACAAUAAUGAAGACACUGUGGUACUGGCUUAAGGAUAGACAUAUGGAUCAAUGGAAUUGAAUAGAGAAUCCAGAAGGAAACCUUA